GCCUAGGUGGCUCAGUCAGUUAAGCGGCUGACUUUGGCUCAGGGCAUGAUCUCACAGAUCGUGGGUUCGAGCCCCACAUUGGGCU
rnacentral:tRNA from 1 species